AGAACAGUUAGGAAGCAAUUGCAGAAAUCCUGACAAAAAUCCCGGCUUGCACUGGGGUGUCACAUUGGAGGGGUCGGGAGAUGUACAGAUUCUGGAAACAGUUUGAAGGGAGAGUUGACUGGCUUUUCUGGUUGCAUGACGAUCAUGACGAGACGAGGCAGCGUGGUAUGAAAGUACCAAGAGCAUGAGGAGCUGCCAGGAGAAGAGGAGAUACAGUCUGACCCGGGCACUCGAGAAGGCUUCUUGGAGCAUGUCCCCUCUGGGCAGAACCCUGCAGGCUGAGGGAAGCAUCGGAAGAUGGCCAGGUGGGAGAGUACUUGGAUGGAGACAAUCACAUGAGAGGAGUCGUGGAAGUAAACACGUACUAGGCCGAGCUGCUGCAGCACCAGGAUGAUGUCUCCUUACUGGCACCUCCUAGGUAUCUGAUUUGAGCUUCUUGACGUCAGGGAGCCCCACCGAUGUGUCUCUGUGUCCUGGCAGCUUUGCACAGAACCGGGCACAGACGGGCAAGUCCAUACAGAGCUGUCGUCUGGAAAACUGCACCCCUGGGUCUGUAGUCCCUGAGCCAGUGGGGAUCCCUUUGUUCUCCCAGUGCUGUUGCUUCCGAUCCCACCAGACAGACCUCGUUUUUUCUAAGCCCAUCCCUGGCCACUUCAUUAUCUUUUGAGACCCCUCCACGCCUCCCCUCCCCCCAGGCCUCACAGAAACACAAGGAGUGUAGGCUCUGAAGAAAGAGUGCCUGCCCAGAUUUGAUCAAGACACAAGUGAGAGGCAAUGAUUUGUGAAGAAAUCCUGGUCCCGUCUAAUGGAAUUUUCCCAAAAUAAAUUCAUGUAAACAACUUCCCACAAAGAGGCAGUCAGGGGAGCUGGGUGUGUAAACAGCGCGAACAGUCCCAGGUACUAUGGGCUGCAGGGGUGCCGUGUCGUCUGGAGGGGGGCGGUGGGGAAACUCCCUUUA